rnacentral:ncRNA from 2 species
UGUUCCGACCGUGGUAAUUUGAGCCGGUCGGCUUGCGGCCACGUUAAACAACCAGCUAAAAUGGCNGGGAAGUACCCGGC